GUGCGAGUAGUUUACCAAAUAUCAUGUCCCCAGCUUCUGUCAGACUGUUGAGGUAUGCGCUGGCCUCUGUGUUCUGUUUUUAUGACAAUUUACUUGGCGUAACGGUAAGAUUUGCGUCUUCUGGCAGAUGGUGGCUUGUUCAUUUUUCAGGGCCGACUUAAAUUUCCUAGCUGAAGUAUAUGGUUCCUUUGCUUUGAUCUAAGUGAGCUGCAAUGAAUCCUUGCGGUGAUUUUCCAUCUAACUUCAUUGUUACCUGUACGGCCAUCAGUUCAUUUGGUAGUUCCAAAAUGUUUGUCAACGAAGUAAAUGAUUCUAGGUUCAACU
rnacentral:lncRNA from 1 species